AUGCACGCUGGCGGCGUGCCUCAUCCCUGCAAGUCGCGCGAACGGACGAGAAGCUUGCUUCUCUGAUGUUAGCGGCGGACGGGUGAGUAACACGUGGAUAACCUACCUAUAAGACUGGGAUAACUUCGGGAAACCGGAGCUAAUACCGGAUGAUAUUUUGAACCGCAUGGUUCAAAAGUGAAAGACGGUCUUGCUGUCACUUAUAGAUGGAUCCGCGCUGCAUUAGCUAGUUGGUAAGGUAACGGCUUACCAAGGCAACGAUGCAUAGCCGACCUGAGAGGGUGAUCGGCCACACUGGAACUGAGACACGGUCCAGACUCCUACGGGAGGCAGCAGUAGGGAAUCUUCCGCAAUGGGCGAAAGCCUGACGGAGCAACGCCGCGUGAGUGAUGAAGGUCUUCGGAUCGUAAAACUCUGUUAUUAGGGAAGAACAUAUGUGUAAGUAACUGUGCACAUCUUGACGGUACCUAAUCAGAAAGCCACGGCUAACUACGUG
rnacentral:rRNA from 1 species